CAAUAGCGUAUAUUAAAGUUGUUGCAGUUAAAAAGCUCGUAGUUGGAUUUCUGGUGGGAGCGAUCGGUCUGGCGCUUAGCGCGAGUACUUGCAUCGUCUCCGGCCAUCCUUGGGGAGAGUCUGUCUGGCAUUAGGUUGUCGGGCAGAGGAUCCUCAUCGUUUACUGUGAAAAAAUUAGAGUGUUCAAAGCAGGCUUAUGCCGUUGAAUAUAUUAGCAUGGAAUAAUAAGAUAGGACUUUGGUACUAUUUUGUUGGUUUGCGCACCAAAGUAAUGAUUAAUAGGGACAGUUGGGGGUAUUCGUAUUCCGUUGUCAGAGGUGAAAUUCUUGGAUUUACGGAAGACGAACUACUGCGAAAGCAUUUACCAAGGGUGUUUUCAUUAA
rnacentral:rRNA from 1 species